ACAGAUCGUUCAGAGUUUGAUCCUGGCUCAGGACGAACGCUGGCGGCGUGCCUAACACAUGCAAGUCGAACGGGGUAGAAAGCUUCGGUUUUCUACUUAGUGGCGAACGGGUGAGUAACGCGUGAGAAACCUGCCUUUCAGUGGGGGACAACAGUUGGAAACGACUGCUAAUACCGCAUAAUGUUAUUUGAGGGCAUCCUCGAAUAACCAAAGAUUUAUUGCUGAAAGAUGGUCUCGCGUCUGAUUAGCUAGAUGGCGGGGUAACGGCCCACCAUGGCGACGAUCAGUAGCCGGUCUGAGAGGAUGAACGGCCACAUUGGGACUGAGAUACGGCCCAG
rnacentral:rRNA from 1 species